GUGGGGAAUAUUGGGCAAUGGGGGAAACCCUGACCCAGCGACGCCGCGUGAGGGAAGAAGGCCUUAGGGUCGUAAACCUCUGUUGUGUGGGAAGAAGAGCGUGACGGUACCACACGAGGAAGUCCCGGCUAACUACGUGCCAGCAGCCGCGGUAAUACGUAGGGGACGAGCGUUGUCCGGAUUUACUGGGCGUAAAGGGCGCGUAGGCGGUCAUUUAAGUCAGCUGUGAAAUGGUCCGGCUCAACCGGAUCAUGCGGUUGAAACUGGAUGGAUGGAGUGCUGGAGAGGCAAGUGGAAUUCCCAGUGUAGCGGUGAAAUGCGUAGAUAUUGGGAAGAACACCGGUGGCGAAGGCGACUUGCUGGCCAGCAACUGACGCUGAGGCGCGAAAGCCAGGGGAGCAAACGGGAUUAGAUACCCGAGUAGUCC
rnacentral:rRNA from 1 species